rnacentral:rRNA from 1 species
GAUGAACGCUGGCGGCGUGCCUAAUACAUGCAAGUCGAGCGAACGGACGAUAAGCUUUCUUCUCUGAUGUUAGCGGCGGACGGGUGAGUAACACGUGGAUAACCUACCUAUAAGACUUGGAUAACUUCGGGAAACCGGAGCUAAUACCGGAUGAUAUUUUGAACCGCAUGGUUCAAAAGUGAAAGACGGUCUUGCUGUCACUUAUAGAUGGAUCCGCGCUGCAUUAGCUAGUUGGUAAGGUAACGGCUUACCAAGGCAACGAUGCAUAGCCGACCUGAGAGGGUGAUCGGCCACACUGGAACUGAGACACGGUCCAGACUCCUACGGGAGGCAGCAGUAGGGAAUCUUCCGCAAUGGGCGAAAGCCUGACGGAGCAACGCCGCGUGAGUGAUGAAGGUCUUCGGAUCGUAAAACUCUGUUAUUAGGGAAGAACAUAUGUGUAAGUAACUGUGCACAUCUUGACGGUACCUAAUCAGAAAGCAACGGCUAACUACGUG